rnacentral:rRNA from 1 species
GCCCUGCAAAGCAGCAUCGCGGUGGCGGAGCGUCGUUUGCGACGCCCAACACACAAAACAAGCGGUGAGUGCUUUGGGGUGGGGUGACUGCGUACCUUUUGUAUAAUGGGUCAGCGACUUAUAUUCUGUAGCAAGGUUAACCGAAUAGGGGAGCCGGAGGGAAACCGAGUCUUAACCGGGCGUUAAGUUGCAGGGUAUAGACCCGAAACCCGGUGAUCUAGCCAUGGGCAGGUUGAAGGUUGGGUAACACUAACUGGAGGACCGAACCGACUAAUGUUGAAAAAUUAGCGGAUGACCUGUGGCUGGGGGUGAAAGGCCAAUCAAACCGGGAGAUAGCUGGUUCUCCCCGAAAGCUAUUUAGGUAGCGCCUCGUGAAUUCAUCUCCGGGGGUAGAGCACUGUUUCGGCUAGGGGGCCAUCCCGGCUUACCAACCCGAUGCAAACUGCGAAUACCGGAGAAUGUUAUCACGGGAGACACACGGCGGGUGCUAACGUCCGUCGUGAAGAGGGAAACAACCCAGACCGCCAGCUAAGGUCCCAAAGUCAUGGUUAAGUGGGAAACGAUGUGGGAAGGCCCAGACAGCCAGGAUGUUGGCUUAGAAGCAGCCAUCAUUUAAAGAAAGCGUAAUAGCUCACUGGUCGAGUCGGCCUGCGCGGAAGAUGUAACGGGGCUAAACCAUG